AGAUAAUAACCUUAUUUCUAUCAUCCAAGAUAAUGCAUUUAAAAUUUUUCCAUCUUUAAGAGAACUGAUUAUAAAAAACUCAUUCUUAAAUGCAAUACCAAAUGCUGUUAGGAGGAUUCAACUUUUAUAUAAGUUAGAUCUUUCUAAUAAUCCAAUCAAAGACUAUGGAAGUGGCUCAUUUGAUUCAAAACACCUUAA
rnacentral:lncRNA from 1 species